rnacentral:rRNA from 2 species
GCAAGUCGAGCGAACAGACAAGGAGCUUGCUCCUUUGACGUUAGCGGCGGACGGGUGAGUAACACGUGGGUAACCUACCUAUAAGACUGGGAUAACUUCGGGAAACCGGAGCUAAUACCGGAUAAUAUUUCGAACCGCAUGGUUCGAUAGUGAAAGAUGGUUUUGCUAUCACUUAUAGAUGGACCCGCGCCGUAUUAGCUAGUUGGUAAGGUAACGGCUUACCAAGGCGACGAUACGUAGCCGACCUGAGAGGGUGAUCGGCCACACUGGAACUGAGACACGGUCCAGACUCCUACGGGAGGCAGCAGUAGGGAAUCUUCCGCAAUGGGCGAAAGCCUGACGGAGCAACGCCGCGUGAGUGAUGAAGGUCUUCGGAUCGUAAAACUCUGUUAUUAGGGAAGAACAUACGUGUAAGUAACUAUGCACGUCUUGACGGUACCUAAUCAGAAAGCCACGGCUAACUACGUGCCAGCAGCCGCGGUAAUACGUAGGUGGCAAGCGUUAUCCGGAAUUAUUGGGCGUAAAGCGCGCGUAGGCGGUUUUUUAAGUCUGAUGUGAAAGCCCACGGCUCAACCGUGGAGGGUCAUUGGAAACUGGAAAACUUGAGUGCAGAAGAGGAAAGUGGAAUUCCAUGUGUAGCGGUGAAAUGCGCAGAGAUAUGGAGGAACACCAGUGGCGAAGGCGACUUUCUGGUCUGUAACUGACGCUGAUGUGCGAAAGCGUGGGGAUCAAACAGGAUUAGAUACCCUGGUAGUCCACGCCGUAAACGAUGAGUGCUAAGUGUUAGGGGGUUUCCGCCCCUUAGUGCUGCAGCUAACGCAUUAAGCACUCCGCCUGGGGAGUACGACCGCAAGGUUGAAACUCAAAGGAAUUGACGGGGACCCGCACAAGCGGUGGAGCAUGUGGUUUAAUUCGAAGCAACGCGAAGAACCUUACCAAAUCUUGACAUCCUUUGACAACUCUAGAGAUAGAGCCUUCCCCUUCGGGGGACAAAGUGACAGGUGGUGCAUGGUUGUCGUCAGCUCGUGUCGUGAGAUGUUGGGUUAAGUCCCGCAACGAGCGCAACCCUUAAGCUUAGUUGCCAUCAUUAAGUUGGGCACUCUAAGUUGACUGCCGGUGACAAACCGGAGGAAGGUGGGGAUGACGUCAAAUCAUCAUGCCCCUUAUGAUUUGGGCUACACACGUGCUACAAUGGACAAUACAAAGGGCAGCGAAACCGCGAGGUCAAGCAAAUCCCAUAAAGUUGUUCUCAGUUCGGAUUGUAGUCUGCAACUCGACUACAUGAAGCUGGAAUCGCUAGUAAUCGUAGAUCAGCAUGCUACGGUGAAUACGUUCCCGGGUCUUGUACACACCGCCCGUCACACCACGAGAGUUUGUAACACCCGAAGCCGGUGGAGUAAC